UUGACCUCGAAUCAGGUAGGGAUACCCG
rnacentral:rRNA from 4 species